rnacentral:rRNA from 1 species
UACGUAGGGCGCGAGCGUUGUCCGGAAUUAUUGGGCGUAAAGAGCUCGUAGGCGGUUUGUCGCGUCUGCUGUGAAAUCCGAGGCUCAACCUCGGACUUGCAGUGGGUACGGGCAGACUAGAGUGUGGUAGGGGAGACUGGAAUUCCUGGUGUAGCGGUGGAAGUGCGCAGAUAGUCAGGAGGAACACCGAUGGCGAAGGCAGGUCUCGUGGGC